GCCAGUGUGGUGUAGUGGUUUAAACACUGGACUAUGACUCUGGAGACCAGCAUUCAAAUCCCUGCUCAGCCA